rnacentral:tRNA from 1 species
GGGCUUGUGGUUUAGUGGUAUAAUACUCGUGGUCCGGGGUUCGAUUCCCCGCGAGUCCA